rnacentral:sRNA from 1 species
GGGGCGAUGGGGCCCAAAUCAUGCUGCAGAUCCCAUUAUAACCAGAGUAUAUUCAUUCUAUUGGAGAAUCACCCAGGCAUUUUCAGAGCCAAGAUUUCACCCCCCUUUCUUUCAAGUAUGCACUUCAUGAUUCAAAACAGCAUUGUUCAGGAUUUCAUAAACUUUUUCAGAAGCUCCAAGGCAGGUGUUAAAUUUUCAGAUUCCCAGACAUCUCUCCUAGAGAUUGUCCAGAUGGAAAAGGGAUAGCAGUGGAAAUAGAAUCAUGCACCCUGUUUCUGGGAAACACAUCUUACAAUUUGUUGCAAUAAAAAGGAAAGACUGUGGAGAAUGGGCAAUCCCAGGGGGGAUGGUGGAUCCAGGAGAGAAGAUUAGUGCCACACUGAAAAGAGAAUUUGGUGAGGAAGCUCUCAACUCCUUACAGAAAACCAGUGCUGAAAAGAGAGAAAUAGAGGAAAAGUUGCACAAACUCUUCAGCCAAGACCACCUAGUGAUAUAUAAGGGAUAUGUUGAUGAUCCUCGAAACACUGAUAAUGCAUGGCUGGAGACAGAAGCUGUGAACUACCAUGACGAAACAGG